CUUUGAAACUCGAUGCCCCAUCCCUUCUGACAGCAUGGCCCCCUCGCAUGUAGGAGUGAGAAUGUAAACAUCUUCACCCCCGGUGCAAUAAGGCGAUUCCACCAGGCGCCGGAAGAACGGUUAAAAAACACAGCGUUAUAAUACCAAUCGAAACAUGAUUAUACAAAAAUACCGCUUUAACCCGUUACACCGCAGGAGUGUUCGGGGGAGCCCUCCUUGGAAAUAUUAUGUUGUAACACUAUGUUGAUUUGUUAUGCGAAACAAGAGGUGUGAGGGUGUCCCCAGGGGCUGUUGUAAAACCAUUUGAUCAGUUUCUGAGGGUGACUUUUAUGGAGAAACCUGGUAUAAAUAUAGGCGGAGUUGAAGCGUCAGAAUCAACCCGAACCCAGGCCUUCACGCUAGAUCCUCGUCGGACGUUGAAGCAGCGGUAUGAUUCGAGGUAAAGCUCCGACGACUCUCAUUUCUUUGAUUCUCCUGAAAAUAUGCGCUAACAAAUUUCGUCCGCGUCAGCUCCUGCAUCUCAAGCCGCCCGCGGGGCUCGUCUGUCAGAGAGCGCUACACUCCAUCGCCUUGCGCUACAGCGUCGCCAGAGCCAACAAUUCCAACUGCAGUAUAGGCACCAGGCGGCUCAACAAGCAUUCAACGCCUUCCCAACCGGAGAGGCCCUUAGAUUCGUCGACGCUGAGAUCCAUCAGCCGCCAUGGACCGAUCACAGUCUCGACGUAUCAGACGACGCUCUUCUGGAGGUGUCACCGGACCCCGGAGAGAUAUUUACUGCCGGCGAGUGCGUCGUCAAUGCGCCGCCAUCCACCCCGGAGCCGCCGCAGCAGCCACAAGAACAACAACAACAACAACAACAACAAGAACCGCGGAGCCCUGAAGAGGAGUGUCUAA
rnacentral:lncRNA from 1 species